AUGCACAGUCCUAUUGUUUAAUUCGAGUGUCU
rnacentral:piRNA from 1 species